rnacentral:rRNA from 1 species
CUGCCGGCAGGCCUAACACAUGCAAGUCGAGCGGAAACGACCUAGCUUGCUAGGGGCGUCGAGCGGCGGACGGGUGAGUAACGCGUAGGAAUAUGCCCUACAGAGAGGGGAUAGCCCGGGGAAACUCGGAUUAAUACCGCAUAGUCCCGAGAGAGGUAAAGGUGGCCUUUGGCUGUCGCUGUAGGAUUAGCCUGCGUGAGAUUAGCUAGUUGGUGGGGUAAAUGCCUACCAAGGCGACGAUCUCUAACUGGUCUGAGAGGAUGAACAGUCACACUGGAACUGAGACACGGUCCAGACUCCUGCGGGAGGCAGCAGUGGGGAAUAUUGGGCAAUGGGCGCAAGCCUGACCCAGCCAUGCCGCGUGUGUGAAGAAGGCUCUAGGGUUGUAAAGCACUUUAGUUUGUGAGGAAGGGCAUUGUGAGUAAUAUGCAUGAUGUUUGACGUUAGCAAAAGAAUAAGCACCGGCUAACUCCGUGCCAGCAGCCGCGGUAAUACGGAGGGU